rnacentral:rRNA from 1 species
GACGAACGCUGGCGGCGUGCUUAACACAUGCAAGUCGAACGGAAAGGCCCUGCUUUUGUGGGGUGCUCGAGUGGCGAACGGGUGAGUAACACGUGAGUAACCUGCCCUUGACUUUGGGAUAACUUCAGGAAACUGGGGCUAAUACCUGAUAGGAGCUCCUGCUGCAUGGUGGGGGCUGGAAAGUUUCGGCGGUUGGGGAUGGACUCGCGGCUUAUCAGCUUGUUGGUGGGGUAGUGGCUUACCAAGGCUUUGACGGGUAGCCGGCCUGUGAGGGUGACCGGCCACCUUGGGACUGAGGUACGGACCAGACUCCAACGGGAGGCAGCAGUGGGGAAUAUUGCACAAUGGGCGGAAGCCUGAUGCAGCAACGCCGCGUGCGGGAUGACGGCUUUCGGGUUGUAAACCGCUUUCGCCUGUGACGAAGCGUGAGUGACGGUAAUGGGUAAAGAAGCACCGGCUAACUACGUG